rnacentral:rRNA from 1 species
UACGUAGGGUUCAAGCGUUAUCCGGAUUUAUUGGGCGUAAAGCACAUGUAGGUGGUCUAACAAGUCUUGUCUUAAAGCUCCGGGCUUAACUCGGAAUCUGGACGAGAUACUGUUAGGCUAGUGGUCAGCAGGGGCAAAUGGAAUUCCGGGUGGAGUGGUGAAAUGCGUAGAGAUCCGGAGGAACACCAAAGGCGAAGGCAGUGUCCUGGGGAGUACCUGACGCUCAGGUGCGAAAGCCAGGGGAGCGAACGGG